rnacentral:tRNA from 45 species
UCGGCACGUAGCGCAGCCUGGUAGCGCACCGUCAUGGGGUGUCGGGGGUCGGAGGUUCAAAUCCUCUCGUGCCGACCAA